GCCCACAAGGAGAUCCUGGAUUUCCAGGUCCUGCAGGUGACAUGGGGUCAGUUGGACCUUCUGGCCCUGUGGGCCUGCUAGGAAGACCAGGAGAUGAUGGAACAAGUCUGCCUGGCCUGCCAGGAAUAAGUGGGGCACCAGGACCUCAAGGUUUUCAAGGUGACCCUGGUUUGCCUGGAACGGGUGAAGCAAUUCCAGGAAGACCUGGAUUUCCUGGACCACCUGGACUACCAGGACAGCCAGGAAGACAAGGCUUACCUGGACUACCUAGUAUGUUGAACAGCAAUUUAUGUUUUGAGAAUAUCAUUACAGAUUUAUUGCUUUUGUUGGUCCUACAAAAAUCUGAGAACUGCCUUUUGACAGAUGUAUAAAAUUUUACAUGUAAUGUACGAAAUGUGUUUCCCAUUAAUUGUCAAUCCGGAAGAUGUCAAGAUUUUAGCUUCCUGGGUGACUUAAACCCACAAAAUAACAUAACAUAUAAGUAAUGCUCCUGAAGAUGUAUCAGCAGAAGUUAAAAACACAGUCAACUGGGGAGUAAGUCCAAAUCACCAUGCUUUACUAAAGCAACAAGCUGUAAAAUUUUACAGUGGAAAAAAAGAAAAAUAGCAAUGAAAAAAACGCGUCAACAUCAACUCUAGUUAGACUUCCUUGCGUAGUACGAUCUGUAAGCAACAACUUGUAAAGUAUUUUGUUUUUUUCAAAGGUGUAAUUUGUACUGAGAGAGGGAUUCCUGGAGAACCUGGAGCAAAAGGUCAGAUAGGCCUUCCGGGAAGAAAAGGUGAAAAAGGAGAAAAAGGUAGGUAUACCUGGAUAGCAACAAUUUGAAUACGAGACCUUUGUCUUAGGACUUAGCACUUCAGUCCUAACAAAAAUUUAUGGCAACUUGUAUGAUCAGGACCAUCAAAAUGUAUAGUUAAAUAGCUGUUGGUAUUGCAGCUUUUAAGUCAGUAGAGUCACACACUACAGCAAUUAUUCAGCACUGUAAAAAUAUACUGAUAAGGUUCACUCUUCUGAAGGCCAUCAUGAGAUAAAAUGGUCUGUGCACUACACAUACAUAAAAGAAAGAGGACAGUAUUUUAAAAAUAUAUUAUGCAACUGUUUCAAUGUAAUUUUGAUACAUUUACAGGAAAUCAAGGCCUGUGCUCAUGUAGUGCUGGUCCUCCUGGUCCCCGUGGUAUACAAGGACCUCCAGGUACUCAAGGGAAGAAAGGACAAAUGGGUUACCCUGGAAGACAUGGAGAAAAGGGUGAUCCAGGCUUAUCUGGUGCAGCUGGAUCACCAGGGCUCCCUGUGAGUAGUUUCAUGAGCUUCAGUAAGUAAAUCAAAUUAACAGAUCGCUCACACAGGAGGCAUUUUAGAGGAGCAGUGGAGGAACUGGCCUGGAAAGCCAUGUAAAAGUUUGAUUUAAUUCUGCUUUUUUCAGUCCCGUAGGAGGAUACAUUUUAUUAGUUUUUAUCUGAUUUCCCUUCCAGCAGUGGUAAGAGUUUUACACUGAGGGACAGAAUGCAAUUCUGUGCUGAUGGUGUCAUCAGGAGGCUUAGUAAAGAUGGUGUGUGUUCAUGUAUUUUGGUUUUGAGUCAUUUUUAAUUUUAGUUGUAAAUACCCAUUGUUUUUCUUGAAAAAAAAUACAGAUGCACCAGUUGACUGAAGAUGAUUUUUUCAGUUAGUUUAAAUGAAAGUGUUUCCAGCAAAAUUUUAUCAAGACAAAGACUUGCAUGAUCUCGUGAGGUCAAGAUGUAUUACACCAACAUCUGUGUGUGUAUGUGCGAAGGAACCCUUGUUUUUAUUCAAGUAUUUCAAGUCACUUUCUUUAUUCCUUUUCUUUUUUUAGAAAUUGAGAUGCUUAACUUACUUGUUGAGCUUAAUUUAUUUGAUGGAGUGGCCUGAACAAAAUACAGUCUUUCACUCCCAUCGACUGUGAAAGCAGUGCUAUUUUUUGUUGUUGUGUUUAUCCCUUCAUUGUUUGGUAUUACUUUUUCAUCUCCCAUUUUCAGACACUACUCAGCCAAAGUUUGUUCCUUACAUGGAUCAGCCACUAUAGGCAAAGCCAUAUCUCUUUAUGACAUGCAUAUUAGCAAUUAAGCUGAAGUGGCAUCAACAUUUUGCCCAGUCCUUAGAAAGAAAAACUAUGAUGAUCCUCAAAAUAAAGACUUCUAGUUCAUUUGAAUAGCUUCCUUG
rnacentral:lncRNA from 1 species